rnacentral:rRNA from 1 species
UGGCGGACGGGUGAGUAACGCGUGGGCAACCUGCCCUCCAGCCCGGGAUAACUUCCGGAAACGGGAGCUAAUCCCGGAUGCGGAGCAAAGGACGCAUGUUUUUUGCUCGAAAGCUUCGGCGCUGGAGGAUGGGCCCGCGUCCCAUUAGCUAGUUGGUGAGGUAACGGCUCACCAAGGCGACGAUGGGUAGCCGGCCUGAGAGGGUGAACGGCCACACUGGGACUGAGACACGGCCCAGACUCCUACGGGAGGCAGCAGUAGGGAAUCUUGCGCAAUGGGCGAAAGCCUGACGCAGCGACGCCGCGUGAGGGAAGAAGGCCUUCGGGUCGUAAACCUCUGUCCUUGGGGACGAUGAUGACGGUACCCAAGGAGGAAGCCCCGGCUAACUACGUGCCAGCAGCCGCGGUAAUACGUAGGGGGCGAGCGUUGUCCGGAAUCACUGGGCGUAAA